rnacentral:rRNA from 1 species
AGAUUGAACGCUGGCGGCAGGCCUAACACACGCAAGUCGAGCGGUAGAGAGGUGCUUACACCUCUUGAGAGCGGCGGACGGGUGAGUAAUGCCUAGGAAUCUGCCUAGUGGUGGGGGAUAACGUUCGGAAACGGACGCUAAUACCGCAUACGUCCUACGGGAGAAAGCGGGGGACCUUCGGGCCUCGCGCCAUUAGAUGAGCCUAGGUCGGAUUAGCUAGUUGGUGAGGUAAUGGCUCACCAAGGCGACGAUCCAUAACUGGUCUGAGAGGAUGAUCAGUCACACUGGAACUGAGACACGGUCCAGACUCCUACGGGAGGCAGCAGUGGGAAUAUUGGACAAUGGGCGAAAGCCUGAUCCAGCCAUGCCGCGUGUGUGAAGAAGGUCUUCGGAUUGUAAAGCACUUUAAGUUGGAGAAGGCAGUUACCUAAUACGUAUCUGUUUUGACGUUACGACAGAAUAAGCACGGCUAACUCUAGUGCCAGCAAGCCGUA